rnacentral:rRNA from 1 species
AUUGAACGCUGGCGGCAUGCCUUACACAUGCAAGUCGAACGGCAGCAUAGGAGCUUGCUCCUGAUGGCGAGUGGCGAACGGGUGAGUAAUAUAUCGGAACGUGCCCUAGAGUGGGGGAUAGCUCGGCGAAAGCCGGAGUUUAUACCGCAUACGAUCUACGGAUGAAAGUGGGGGAUCGCAAGACCUCAUGCUCCGUGGAG